rnacentral:ncRNA from 1 species
CCUUCAAAAAUACAUUCUAUCGAGUGAUCGAAACUCCGAGGCGCAAUGAAAGAAGGCGACUUCGGUCGCUGAGGUGAGAGCCUAUCAUUCUGUAAUAGUAGGCGCAUUAUUGACCGACCUAUUCUACUCUUAGAAAGGUUUGAGUAAGAGCGCAUCUCUUGGGACCCGAAAGAUGGUGAAUUAUGCCUGAAUAGGGUGAAGCCAUAGGAAACUCUGGUGGAGGCUCGUAGCGAUUCUGACGUGCAAAUCGAUCAUCAAAUUUGGGUAUAGGGGCGAAAGACUAAUCGAACUGUCUACUAGCAGG